ACGUAGGAGGCGAGCGUUAUCCGGAUUUACUGGGCGUAAAGCGCGUGCAGGCGGUGCGAUAAGUCGUGCGUGAAAGCUCCCAGGCUUAACCGGGAGAGGACGUGCGAGACUGUCGGACUAGAGGCAGGUAGAGGCAAGUGGAAUUCCGGGUGUAGUGGUGAAAUGCGUAGAUAUCCGGAGGAAUACCAGUGGCGAAGGCGGCACCCUGGGCCAUAACUGACGCUAAGACGCGAAAGCAUGGGUAGCGAACGG
rnacentral:rRNA from 1 species